CAAGCCCCAGCCCAAGCCCAGAUGCAAACAGGACCAGGAGAAUGCAGUACUACCAAUGGCCUUCCUCAGGAGCUGCAGACUGAAAUAGCACUGCUGUCACUCCUACAGUGCUGUGGGAGGACUCAGAGAUUAUGCAGAAGGAAUUGAAGUUGCUGCAGUACCAGUUGAGCCAGCACCAGGAGCUGCUGCUGAAACAGCUGGCUGAGGGACGACAGGCUCAGGUUGGCAGUUGGAAGGAUCUCCAUUCAUGUUUUCCAAUCUAAGCUGCCUCUGCCCACUACCUUCACCAUGUCUGUUUCUUCAUCCAGCUCUUAAUUCAGUCUUCUGGACAGUAACACUAGCUGAGAACUUUUAUGGAAGCCAGAUCCCCAGAGGAGCACCCUUUCUAACCUGGAGCCCAGCAUCUUUCAGCUCCAUGCCCAGAGUCUUAAGCAAGA
rnacentral:lncRNA from 1 species